AUAGGUCACUUAUUGCUACAAGAGUACUUUUCUCUAACCAAACCUCAUUUCUACCAGUACACCAACUAAAUAAGCUAACUAAAUACAGUAUUGUCUUAUCAAUCUUUCUUUCUCUAUCUUUCUCUAUUAUUUUUUCUCUUAUUUUUUCAAGCUUCGAAAGCUCACCAAAAAUUUCAUCUUGGCCUUCAAUUGAUGAUGGAAUCUCUUCACCCAAACCAAAUUCAGAUGUUUGUGAUUCCAAAACGUGAGAUCUAAAAGAGAUGCUAGGAUCAAUUCAUAUCUUAGGCAAGACCCAUUGCCAGCAAACGUUAUCGUAGUCUUCUCUCUCACAUUAACGGAGCUCUUGAUAUCGUCCGAUGAAUCUCAUCCGACCGUGGUCUUCUCUCUCACAUUAACAGAGCUCUCUGUCACGGCGUCUGUAUCUCUCUCGCAUAAACGGAGUCACGGCGCAUGUAUCUCCGAUGAAGCUCCUCCGACCAUGGACUGUAUCUCCGCUGAAGUUUCUCCGAUGAAGCUGGUGAUGCUUCGACGUCUUAGUCUCUCGAUUGAAAAAGCAGUAGCUUUAUAAAGAUCAUUUUUUGUUGCUAAGGUGGAGAGGGAGUUGGAGGUUUGGAUACUCUUGGGAUUUUUCAAAUUGAGUUCAGUCUCUAAAAAAUCUGUGUAGUAUAUAUAUAUAUAUAUAUUCUUGUGGCUAAUUUCCGUGGAUGAUAUAAAUUUAUAAGCAGUGAGAAUGGGAAGAGAAGUUGUUGAGGUGCAUAAGAACACAAAGAUGCCCAACGCUAGAUUCAAUUAGUGUCUGCAAUUUUGGUUUCAGAUAUGGUUACAAGAACAUGCUUAUGUUAAGAUAUAGAAUCAGACUAACAAUAUGUUUCUUUUGGGUUUACCAGCUAAUAUACUUCAAGCGUUAAUGUUGAUGGUUAACCAGUACCGAAAGAUGACUCUACCUCUCUGCAAUGAACAACUACAUCAAACUAGCCAUACGAAAUGGCUGAUGCAUCACCUGCUUUGAAGAAUCAUGUGUUCACCAAGGUUGGUUAGCUGAGACCAGGUGGUCUCUUUCUGAGCGUGAAAGUUAUAGCUCACGAAGAUGGUGAUUCAGGUAGUACAUGUCUAUAAAAUUAUUUUCUGUAAAUGACUCUGUAGAUAAUGCAUAAAGGGAAUGUGUACGCGUGAAUAUUCUAAAAAAUGUUGUACAUAAUUAGGAUAGAAACGAGGCUUACUAUGUGUAUAGGAUGGAAACGAGGCUUACUAAUUAGGUGUACAUGUAAUUUUUUGUUAAACGUUGUACAUGUGGAUACUUAUAGAACAGUGUACACAUGAUUACCUUGUACGUGUGGA